GGUGAACGCUGGCGGCGUGCCUAAUACAUGCAAGUCGAGCGAACAGACGAGGAGCUUGCUCCUCUGACGUUAGCGGCGGACGGGUGAGUAACACGUGGAUAACCUACCUAUAAGACUGGGAUAACUUCGGGAAACCGGAGCUAAUACCGGAUAAUAUAUUGAACCGCAUGGUUCAAUAGUGAAAGACGGUUUUGCUGUCACUUAUAGACGGAUCCGCGCCGCAUUAGCUAGUUGGUAAGGUAACGGCUUACCAAGGCAACGAUGCGUAGCCGACCUGAGAGGGUGAUCGGCCACACUGGAACUGAGACACGGUCCAGACUCCUACGGGAGGCAGCAGUAGGGAAUCUUCCGCAAUGGGCGAAAGCCUGACGGAGCAACGCCGCGUGAGUGAUGAAGGUCUUCGGAUCGUAAAACUCUGUUAUUAGGGAAGAACAAAUGUGUAAGUAACUAUGCACGUCUUGACGGUACCUAAUCAGAAAGCCACGGCUAACUACGUG
rnacentral:rRNA from 1 species